AACACUAUCCUGAUGCUGUCAGAGUAAGUGGUAAAGCUCCAGCAUCAGUGAUUUUGUUGU
rnacentral:pre_miRNA from 2 species